CUUUGCACACGCGGGAGCUCGGAGCACCGGGCUGAGAGGGCGCUGACCUCCGUGGUGGCCGACUGGCAGCAGCCAGUACGCCGACCACGGACAUGGCUGCGUCGACCGCCGAACCUGUUACCGGGUAAUGCCGGCGUAGGGAGUAGCUGUUAUGACUGU
rnacentral:ncRNA from 1 species